UCCCACGCAGGCUUCGCUCAGUUCUGCGUCUCCGCCUGGGAGCAUCCCAGCCGUGGGCGGUAGGGGGUAGGAGGCACUGUGCCCUCGUCACUCCAGCGGGCAGGGCGGGGCCAAGUGCGCGCGGAUGCGUGGCGUCGGGAUGCUGGGACCCCCGAAAGCCAACCGCCCCCGUGGAGACGUAGGGUGGUUUCCGGAGCCCGAACACGGCCGGGCAAGUUAGGGACCCUCCGCCUCAGCACAGGGACACCUGCCCCCUCCAGGCUGUGCCCUGGGGGUCCUGUUCUGUGAUGGUCACUCCCCCUCAGCCUGCAGGCUCCCAGCAGAUCACCCAUCACCACUGGCCUCUCAGCCCCAUGUCUAGGCUUCACUCUCUCCGGCAUCCUUGCCUUCCUUCACCCCUGACUCAUCUGGAAAAACCCAACCCGGUAGGUGUCAGGAGGUCGUGGCCUGGGCGCCCCUGCAGGACAGAACUUGAGGCCAAGGCUGACACAGAGUGGAGCUGGACCUGUCCAGGGCGUCUCUGUGGCUUGAACUCCACUCCAGCCAUGGAACCGGGGAGUCGGCCAUCAGUGGCCAGGGCACAGCCCGGGCUGUUCCUGGCUCCUGUGAAGCUCUUGCUGCCACGCGGUCUGUGGGCCAUUGUUACGGCAGCCCUGGAAACUGCUACAAUCUCCAGUCUCCAAGACAACUGCCGACUGAAGACAGUGAAGAACGGAACGGUCAGGACCCGGGCCAGGCUUUGCCCCGGGGGAGAGGACGUUCCCACGUGCUGGGACUUGCCUGAAACGCCCCGGGAGGGACGCACAGCCAGGAAGAGGCAGGAGCCAGGUCUUCCUCCUCACUGCACAGCCUGGGUUCCGCUUGCAUUUUUUACUUUUUACCACGUUAAUAAGGAAAUAAAUAAAAUUCAGAUCAGGGAGAAAACAAAAUGUCAAAAGACCCAUGUAAACCCGACACCUCUCCUAACCCUCCUCUCACCUGACUUGCUGUUUAACCAUCGGCCACAAGGGUGGGAGCGGGGACCCUGCCUUUAGCAUCUGCCUGGUCUCUUUCAGAGGAAAGAAAAAUGAGAGGCAGG
ensembl:lncRNA